UACCUUGUUUACAACUUUUCUGUCAAAAUAGAUGCCGACCAGCUGUUGCUUGGCACGAGCAACAUAAAUAAGUUUACAGAAGACGAAAUUACUGCUACAAUUAUUCUUCAUGCUAACUAGUUUGGUAUUGCUGUCCUAGCUUCAGUGGACGAGAGUUCAUGCCGUCCAGCAGCAACAGUGUCCAAACUGGGUUAUUGUGCUGUCCCAGAUGCUGCCCCUCGUAUGAGAAGUGGCCAGAUCCCAUGUCGCUUCGCGCAUAACAGCUCGUCCUUUAUUCGGAUUGGAACGGACACGGAACAAUUCAGUGAAAGAGUAUCGAUGUGAUGACACCCUUUUGACGAUGUUGGUCAGGGAACCUGUGAUGAUGUGGUGCAAAAAAUGCUACCGGCAUCACUUUCGUUCCGCUAUUGCACUUGACCCGAACUAGGACCGCGACGGCACUGACGAACUUGCGGCAGCGGUGAUGAUGCGUAUCCCUCCUUCGAAAUUGCGGUGCUGAGAUGAUGAUAAGGUAGAAGCUUGUGUGGAAUAAGGCUGCAGCCAAAACGGAAUGAAUAUUUGUUUUCUUUGAACUGGAACGGCAACAGUGGCAGCAUGACGAUCGUCUCGAACAUGACGACUGCAACGAACCGACAUGGAACCGCGGACAAUAACUUAAAUAACAACUAUGCAUAAGCACAAAUAUACUUAUAGUUUAUUUCCUAA